UGGGGAAUAUUGGACAAUGGGCGCAAGCCUGAUCCAGCCAUGCCGCGUGAGUGAUGAAGGCCCUAGGGUUGUAAAGCUCUUUCACCGGUGAAGAUAAUGACGGUAACCGGAGAAGAAGCCCCGGCUAACUUCGUGCCAGCAGCCGCGGUAAUACGAAGGGGGCUAGCGUUGUUCGGAUUUACUGGGCGUAAAGCGCACGUAGGCGGACUAUUAAGUCAGGGGUGAAAUCCCGGGGCUCAACCCCGGAACUGCCUUUGAUACUGGUAGUCUUGAGUUCGAGAGAGGUGAGUGGAAUUCCGAGUGUAGAGGUGAAAUUCGUAGAUAUUCGGAGGAACACCAGUGGGGAAGGCGGCUCACUGGCUCGAUACUGACGCUGAGGUGCGAAAGCGUGGGGAGCAAACAGG
rnacentral:rRNA from 1 species